rnacentral:rRNA from 1 species
CGGGCUGCAGCAGUGGGGAAUAUUGCACAAUGGGCGCAAGCCUGAUGCAGCGACGCCGCGUGGGGGAUGACGGCCUUCGGGUUGUAAACUCCUUUCGCUAGGGACGAAGCGCAAGUGACGGUACCUGGAGAAGAAGCACCGGCUAACUACGUGCCAGCAGCCGCGGUAAUACGUAGGGUGCGAGCGUUGUCCGGAAUUACUGGGCGUAAAGAGCUCGUAGGUGGUUUGUCGCGUCGUUUGUGUAAGCCCGCAGCUUAACUGCGGGACUGCAGGCGAUACGGGCAUAACUUGAGUGCUGUAGGGGAGACUGGAAUUCCUGGUGUAGCGGUGGAAUGCGCAGAUAUCAGGAGGAACACCGAUGGCGAAGGCAGGUCUCUGGGCAGUAACUGACGCUGAGGAGCGAAAGCAUGGGUAGCGAACAGGAUUAGAUACCCGAGU